rnacentral:lncRNA from 1 species
GGGGAAUCCCAGAUGGUCUCCGAGGCUGGGCACAUUCAGGAAACCCUGAAGCGCUUGGUGGAGGAGGAUCUGAGGCCCCGAAAACUGUGUAAAAGCCUUAAACUGACAAGACACCAGAGAGCUGAUUUGAAACUGAAAGACAGCUGGCGCAGGCCUGGGGCCUCUGGAGUUUGACUCUGGAAGCUGCGGGCUUGCACAGCUGCGAGCCUGUCAGCAUGAAGACUCUGCAGGAAGAUCGUCAAAAUAUUGCCAUUGGUUGGAGAACUUCACGCUUCAGCCUUCCCUUCACGGGGAGGAUCCUUCGUUGGAAAGAAAGAACGCACACGUUCACACCUGUCUCCAUCUUGCUAAGAUAAAAUCAGUGAGAAUGUUGCCAUGGCCAUCAAUGUAGCUUUGAAAAAUCCAUUUAAUCUGGAAGAGUAUUUAAAAAAUUUUUAAAUGCUCUAAUUUGAUUCCUGGAAAGUAAACUGCUUUGAUGUGGCUUCUUUUCUCACGCUAUCUCUUUCUAAUUCCUUGGUCUUUAGAAACCAGGAGGAUAAUCGAACAUUUCCUUUGACCAUGUGAGAGAAACUUGUGGGGCUGUUCCUGGUGAAAGCACAUUUAACAAAUUAGUAGGUAGAGAAACAAAAGUUGCUGGCCAUGGGCUUUUCCAGCAAUAAACUGUAUCAUCAAUUAUAAUUUUAUACCACCUUUUUAAAGCAAACAAAA